UGGUGCCCCACAACGAAGCAACCUGUGGAACCCCAGACAUCGCCUGUUACAAAGAGGAAAAAGCAGGCUCUGCAAAAGAGUUACCAAGCCUGAGGAAAGGGGCCAAAAGUGAAGCAAUGGCACAGCAUAACUUUGGGAUGGCAGAGUCCAUUUAGUGGAAGACUGUUCUCUAAGUACUGGAGACCUUGAGCGUGAACGGUAUCUUCUGGAUGGGGCUGCCCUUGCCCUUGAACGGUGAUAACCAUCUGACCUUGACCUGCAACGAUUGUUACGACUCUUCCCUUCGUCUCUUCUUGGAUACGGUGGCGAUCGCGAGUGGGAACGACUAAAUGAGUGAGAGCAGGAGGCAGUGUGGGAGAAGCACUGCAGGGAGACUUGGACCUUAAAGAAACCCAAACAAACCGAGGAAAACAAUAGAGGAAGUUAAUUCAAACCAGUCCCUGGGCUGGGAAAGAAGGCCUAAAUCUUGGGGGACGUCAAGUCUGGUGGCCUCCUGGAGAAGAAACAAUUACCGUGAGAGAUUUGGUGCUUCUAGAGAGCAGCGCCUGCCUGGAGUCUGGUCGUCAAAAACCUUUGCAGAAAGGUCCUUUGCAAUCUACAGCACAUGGGCAAGCAGCCUGAAGCACAACGCCCGACGCACAGAGCCUGGCUGUCUUCCUGCCGCCACUGGAGUCCCUUCCUGCGAGUGAGCUGCUCGCCCUCUUCUUUCUCUGCUCUGGAUCUGCCACCACGAACUGAAGGGCCACUGGAGCUGGGGGGUCUACAGCCCUGAUUUACCAUUCCAGAGACAGAUGAGUGAACCUACUCAGGACCCCACUGGAGUUAAGGGAUCUCGUGCACUGCACUUUGCAGGAAGAGGGCCGCAACUUGCUCUCUUCCUGCCGUCACACAUUCUCAUGAUUUCUUCAUGCAAGGAUUUGGGGGAAUACACACGGCUCCUCCUUUCCACCAUCUGCCUGAGAACUUCACCUCAGCGGAGGGGAGUUGUACCUUUUCUGCCGGAACCUGAAGUUCUCAACUUUCCAGUACAAGGAUGCAUUUAUGGAGGCAAAUCCAGGGGUGCAGGUGGUGCCCCACAACGAAGCAACCUGUGGAACCCCAGACAUCGCCUGUUACAAAGAGGAAAAAGCAGGCUCUGCAAAAGAGUUACCAAGCCUGAGGAAAGGGGCCAAAAGUGAAGCAAUGGCACAGCAUAACUUUGGGAUGGCAGGUGAGAUUUCCAUCCCUGUUCCUCAAAGGGAACAGCCUCGUUUUGUUUGAGGGUGCGGUGUUGGAAUCAAAGCGCAAGGCCAGUUUUCUUUACUGCAGACUGCGCUGUAGUGCAAAUAGCUUUCGUGUCCC